GAGACUGGUUGGGUAACACCUUCCAAACCUCCCACCCUUUGUUUACAUUACCUUUGUUGCUUUGGCAGGCCCGUCUUUGGACCGCCGGCUUCGGCUGGCCAGCGCUUGCCAGAGGACCACAACUCUGUAUCAAAUGUCGUCUGAGUACUAUAAAAUAGUUAAAACUUUCAACAACGGAUCUCUUGGUUCU
rnacentral:misc_RNA from 1 species